CUCUAGUGGUAGCAGCCGCUUUCUUUGCAAAUUGUCAAUAUCGCAGCUGUUACUUGAGGAAGUAUAAUUGUAGAGACAGAUGGAUCACUAUGGUUCUUCUGGCGGAAGCUGGACCAUGAUCCCAACUCACAAUUCAAAUGUCCAAUCCCAAUCGAACCAGGACCCUAACGUCUUUCUUCAACAACAACAACAACAACAAUUUCUCCAGCCACAACCUUUUCAGCAAGCAUUACAACCUCAGUCUCCAUUUCAACAGCACCAGCACCUUUAUCAGCAGCAACAACAACAGCAACGUCUACUACAACAACAACAGCAACAACAGCAGCAGCAGCAACAACAGAACCUUCACCAAUCACUGGCCUCUCACUACCAUCUCUUACAUUUGGUGGAGAAUUUGUCUGAGGUUAUUGAACAUGGAAACCCAGAUCAGCAAUCAGAUGCAUUGAUCAAUGAAUUGAGUAACCACUUUGAGAAGUGCCAACAGCUGUUAAACUCAAUCUCGGAGUCGAUUAGCACCAAGGCUAUGACAGUUGAAGGACAGAAGAAGAAGCUAGAGGAAAGUGAGCAAUUGCUAAAUCAGAGAAGAGACUUGAUUGCCAAUUACAGAAAAUCUGUGGAGGAGCUUGUUAGGUCUGAGCCAUAGAGAGUGUUAUCCAUUCAGAUAGGUAGGGAACUUUAACUGACUUUUUUUGCCUUGAUGUUUUAGUAGUGGUGUGGAUCACCAGUUUUCUACCUUAAAAUUCAGAUUAGCAAAAAUGCUAAUACUAUUUAUACACGAUAAGUACUUAAAGAUGCAUCUCUCAAUACACGUUCUGUAAUAUCUGCAAAUAUUAUAGGAUGAAUGUCUGUAGCCAUAGAAGAAUUUCAAUAUUCUUUACUGCAUUUUGAUUCUUUUUAAUUUGUAAGGUGGAAUACCCAGUUAUAGAAUCCAAUUGGGUGAUACUUAAAUAUAUUUUGGUUUUGAGUAGUCACAGGAAAUCUCUAUCUAAAAGACUUAGAAGCCACAAAUAAUAUUAAUUGAUGAACUAUGAAUUGCCUCUUUGAGAAAUCCACUUGUAAUUGUGUUUUGGUUUGAAAAUAUCGCAAUGUUUGUUUUAUAUGGUGUAAUUGAUUGAAAGUUCCAGUCCUGUUUUUAAAAUUUUUCCCUCCUAUGCACUGAUUUCAUGUAUCCAUUCAAGUUCUACUAGAAAGAAGGGGAGCAAAGUUGUUAGGUAUUUUCUUUUUUAAACAAGAAAAUGUAGCAUCCAUUCUAAAACACUCCUGGUUCAAGAAUGAGCGUGAAUGUAGAUGUGAGUGUUGUAAUUCUCCAUUCUCAUUCGGAUUAUUUAUGUUCAACCUUGGAGAUUUAAGCCUGUGCAUGAAUUUAUAAUUUAAUAGAUAUUCUGCAAGUUCCGUGUCAAGUUUUGGCCCAUGGAUGUCAAAGUUUGUAUCCAUGAAACAAGGUGAUUCUGACAAUUUGGAGCAAUGAGGAAUGUAAUGUUAAUGAUAUAUGAUACAAAAUUGGUUGCCUCCUAUUGGUGCCGUUUAUCUAUAAUGUUGAAUACAUAA